GACAGCACCGCCGCGGGAAUACAGAGGGUGCGAGCGUUAAUCGGAUUUACUGGGCGUAAAGCGUGCGCAGGCGGUUAUAUAAGACAGAUGUGAAAUCCCCGGGCUCAACCUGGGAACUGCAUUUGUGACUGUAUAGCUAGAGUACGGCAGAGGGGGAUGGAAUUCCGCGUGUAGCAGUGAAAUGCGUAGAUAUGCGGAGGAACACCGAUGGCGAAGGCAAUCCCCUGGGCCUGUACUGACGCUCAUGCACGAAAGCGUGGGGAGCAAACAGGAUUAGAUACCCCUGUAGUCCCUGUCUCUUAUACA
rnacentral:rRNA from 1 species